rnacentral:snoRNA from 1 species
GGGCAGAGGAUGUGAAACAUUUAGACCGCUGAGGCCUUUCCGGUCUUUGAUGAUAUAAAAUUGAGCUUUUUAAAACUGAUGCCUA